UACAGAGGUCUCAAGCGUUGUUCGGAUUCAUUGGGCGUAAAGGGUGCGUAGGCGGCGCGGUAAGUCGGGUGUGAAAUCUCGGAGCUUAAACUCCGAAACCUGCAUUCGAUACUGCCGUGCUUGAGGACUGGAGAGGAGACUGGAAUUUACGGUGUAGCGGUGAAAUGCGUAGAUAUCGUAAGGAAGACCAGUGGCGAAGGCGGGUCUCUGGACAGUUCCUGACGCUGAGGCACGAAGGCCAGGGGAGCAAACGGG
rnacentral:rRNA from 1 species